rnacentral:tRNA from 1 species
GGGAGUAGAUGGGUGCUGGUGUGCCCGCCAGUCUUCAAAACUGGUUCGAGGGGUUAGUAGCUUCUUGGGUGGGUUCGAUUCCCACAUAUUCCCGCCA